ensembl:antisense 1700055D18Rik RIKEN cDNA 1700055D18 gene
UCCUCUCGCUGUGAGCUGGAGAUUACUUCUAACUUGUAGGUUUGAGAAAAGAUGUAAACGGAACCCCAAGAAGCCGAGUGAGACGAAUGGCGAGCUUCACAAUGAGUAGGAAAUGCCGUCGGUCUAAUGGUGGUUGGGUGGAUCGUCGCCCGCAUCGCGUCUCAGUUGCCCAGACGUCCAGCAUAGCAACGGGAGGGUCGGAACUCAGUCCGACGUGUGCCCACCAAGCCAUCAACUCCAGAAUCAAGUUUACAGUCGCCACCACCUUAAAACUUCAGGGCUCAGCCCUCUUAUCAAUGCCGCAAAAGAGUCUGCUGGACCGGGUGGGAAAGAGGAAGGCCCGGCUGCCGCCUUGGCCUCUUGCGGUAUACCACCGAGCAGUAAAAUCAAGAUUAUGUGUUCUAGAUAGCUUUCCUGUUACUUUGAUAAAACUGAACAAAGCAGUUUGGAAGAGGAAGUGUUUACUGGGCUUAUCACCACGGUUUCGGAAAGUCCUGGGAAGAAUUCAAACAAACCGUAGACUAAAGCUACCUCCUGGCUUGGGCUCAGCUGUCCUUGUGCUCAGUUCACGCCUGCGUGAGAAUGGACAGGCCACAAGGGAUGAGCCCUACUAAGUCAAUUAAUAAGCAAGCAAUCCCUUUUCCCAAGUGACUGCGAGGAUAGUAUAAAAUUCUUAGUUGGUUCACAAGCUAAUAGGGUUUCCUAGGGCUUCAUCCAUCCUUAGUUUGCAACAGUUCCCAACCCCAAUAAACCCAUAUAAAAACCACACAAUCCAGUUAUAAAUAUAAGCUAUGUACCUAGACUGGACAGCUCUAGCACUGUGCUAACUUAUUCCCCAGCUGCGAGACCCUUUGCUAUUUGCAGUUUCUCCUGGCUCCUCCUCUUCUUCAGUCCUCUCCCCUUCCCUUCUCCUCCUCUCUACCUGUCCCUACUCUCCAAGACCUCCCACCUCUCCCCUCCCCUGCCCAAUUACAGGCCUCAGCCUUUAUUGACCAGUUAAAAUGGGGAAGAGGAUGCCCUCAAUACCCUCCCCUUUCCCUCAUCCCAGUUUCCUUUCCAGAUUAACCCUUUAGCUCCUGACAUUCUCUCCCUUUUCUACCAUCCACUCCCACUACAAAAUGUUUUUUAAGAGAGCAUACAGAGCCGAAUACAGUAGAAUAAUAAUUACACAAAAAUAGAACCUGGUGUGGUAGCUCACACAUUUUAUCCCAGUACUGGGAGGCAGAAGCAGAUGGACCACUAUGAGUUUGAGUUUGAGACCAGCCUGGUCUACACAAUGUGUUACAGACCAAGCAGGAUUAUAUAGUAAGACCUUGUUAAAGAAGAAAAAGUGCAUAUGCACAGAGAUAAACCCAAGAGAUGAAACAGAAUGUUAGCAAUGGCUCUCUUAAAGGGAUGUGAGAUUAUGGGUUACUACAAUUUUAUUAUCCAUAGUUUCUGUGUUUUAUACUAGUAUACAUCCAAUAUGUGUUAUUUUGGUAAUUGUUUUAAUGAUUUAAUAAAUGUCAUGAAAAUGAGAACACUUAUAUGUUUAACAAGAUUUAAUAUAAAGCACUGAUUCUUUU